rnacentral:rRNA from 1 species
GAUGAACGCUGGCGGCGUGCCUAAUACAUGCAAGUCGAGCGAACGGACGAGAAGCUUGCUUCUCUGAUGUUAGCGGCGGACGGGUGAGUAACACGUGGAUAACCUACCUAUAAGACUGGGAUAACUUCGGGAAACCGGAGCUAAUACCGGAUGAUAUUUUGAACCGCAUGGUUCAAAAGUGAAAGACGGUCUUGCUGUCACUUAUAGCUGGCUCCGCGCUGCAUUAGCUAGUUGGUAAGGUAACGGCUUACCAAGGCAACGAUGCAUAGCCGACCUGAGAGGGGGGUCGGCCACCCGGGAACUGAGACACGGUCCAGACUCCUACGGGAGGCAGCAGUAGGGAAUCUUCCGCAAUGGGCGAAAGCCUGACGGAGCAACGCCGCGUGAGUGAUGAAGGUCUUCGGAUCGGAAAACUCUGUUAUUAGGGAAGAACAUAUGUGUAAGUAACUGUGCACAUCUUGACGGUACCGAAUCAGAAAGCCACGGCUAACUACGUG